AUUUCCACGUCUGAAUUCCCUCAUUUGAACUUGAGGGUAGUUAAUGAGGAGACAUCACAAACCUUUCCAGACCAUGAUUCUGUGUUAACCAGGAGGUCUUAAGAACAGGCACCAGGAGCCCAUUAUCAUCCCAUUUCUCCACGUCAAUCUCCUUGCCCCUAUUAACAAGCCAGCCUCAGGUCCAGCCCCUGGCAUUGCUCUCCCCAGCCCACAGUUGCCUCCUCCUCCACCUCCUCUUUGCCUCCCUCUAUUCAUCUUUCAUCACUUGUCAUCCUGGAAACAAAAUUUACCCCCAGCCCGCCCCAGAGAUCCAUUUUGUCAAUGCUUUCUGUCAUCUUUGUUUGCCAGAGGAAAACAAAACAAAUUUGCACUACAAUUAAAUGCAAACAACCUUAAGAAAGUUAGUAGGUAACUCACACCAAGUUUUAAAAGACCUAGCAAAUCCUUUCCUGAGUGCAGAGAGAAAAACAUGUGCGUGCGGAGCGGGGCACAAGGAGGACGUUGUGAGGGAGGAAAGGAGCGAUCAUCCAUGGAGCGUCAGGUAAAAUGAGUGAUUUAUUAGCCACCGACAAGCAGCUCUUUCAUGUUGAAGAUCUUGUUCCAAGAAACACAGGACCUGCCACACUAGACAAAGAUUCAGUAAAUACAGAAGGAUGAAUGAAUGAAUGAAAAAGCAAGACAAGUGUCACUGCUCCUGCUAGAGGCUGCUCUGCCUUCGGGGUCCCAGAGUGAAGAUGACAUGACAGAGCCAUAGCCAGCCCAAAGCUGACUAAUAUGAGUAACAAAUAGACCUCAGAGGGUAUAAGCCCUUAAGAUUUUGGAGUUUCCAAGACCACAGCAAAACCUAACCUUUUCUCCCUGAUAUAUAAUCCCAGUGAUACAUUUGCAUAGUUCUUUCACACUCCCAAAACCUUGUCUCACAUUAUUUACUUCAACCAUCCUAUGAAGUGUGGAAACCAGACGGUGAUAUUUCUACACUAGAGACCAGCUGGAUCCUUGUCUUGUUCUCCAAUGUCACUUAACAUGAGAUAAAUAAAUAUGUUCUCAGCUGGAAGCAUGGGUCCGUGGAGUCGUCUGUAAGAAGCAGAUGAAGAGCCAGUUAGUCACUGUAAUGUGGAUGAUUCACAGUUACAACUCUCUAUUUGAGGCUCCUAUUAGAGAUUGCUGGGGUUUUUCUGUCCAUGGCAGCUUCACAGGCCUAGAUAUCUUUCCAGGCCUCUGGUUGUCCAUCAGUUUAACCUGCUCUGGUGGAUACCAGUUUCUUUGAGGUGAUCUCAUAGGACCACUAAAUUAGAUGUGGUUUAGGCCCCAUAGACUAUAUUUUAAAUUAUACCAAAUCAAAUAUAACCUUCAGAUUUGGUGAAACUUAACUUAUUAAUUCUCCAUUGCAAAUGACCACAAAAUAUAUUGGCUUAGAACAACAAGAAGCAUGUAUUAUCUCAUACAAUUUCAAGCAGUCAAAAAUUCAGGAGAAUCUUCGCUGAGUGGUUCCGGUUCGGGACUUCUCUUCAGUUCACGGUCAAAAUUUUGAGCAAGGCUGCAGUCAUCUCUAUGCUUGGCUGAAGCUGGAGGAUCUGUCUUCGUGGUGGCUUGUUUGCAUGGUGGCAAGUUAGUGCUGUCUCUUGCAAGGAGGCCUCAGUUCCUCGCCACAUGUGUUUUGCCAGAGGGCUGCUUGAGCCGCCUCAAGACGUGACAGCUGACUUCCUCCAGAGUGAGUGGCCCAAAAGAAAGCAAGGAGCGGUCCACAAUCCUUUUAUGACUUCGUCCUGCAAGUCAUGCACCAUCGCUUCUGUCACAUUUUAUUCACUUGAAGCGCAUUACUAAGCCCAGCUCACUCUUAAGAGGAGUGAAACCAGACUCCACCUUUUUGAAAAGAGGAGUACCACAGGAUCUGUGAACAUAUUUUACAACCACCACAUGCGUACAGGUAUUUAUCUCUGUCCGGCAGCACGUUCAGUUCUCCCCAACUCUGGGCAUAUUGUGGACAUUGUAUUUCCUGCGUCCUCAUGCUGGAUAGGGCCAUGCUAUUAGAUCUGGCCAAUGAGUUGUGAGUGGGCUGUUCAAUAAAUACUUCUGAAAACUUGGCUAUUUAUAUGGAAAAGACAAGAAGACAUCCCUACUUUAUGUCAUUUGCAAAAAUAAAAUGCAGAUGAAUUAAAGAAGUAAAGAAGAAAAAUCAGUAAUGUGAAAAUUUUCAAAAAAAUUAUAUUUUGUGACAUUGGAGAAAGUGAGAAUUUCUUAAAGAAGGCAAACAAUGUAAAGAUAAAAUUUCUCUUCAACAAAAGCUAUAACCAACAAAGUGAAGGGUAAGACACAAAUAAGGAGAAGACAUAGGCAGCUCAUGGAAUCAGAAAAAGAAUCCAAGGUAUAUACAGGAGUCAUGGAAAACUGUAAGGAAAAGAAUAAUAAACCUGUAAAAAGAAAUAAACAAUGCCUAUGAUAAGACAAGUCACAGAAGAGGAGCUGCAUGAUGCUCAAAGUCACUAAUAAACCAGGAAAAUGCAAAAUAAACUGAAAUGAGAUACCAUUUCACACGUGUCAGACUGGCAAAAAAUACUGGGUCUGAGAGCCCGGACUCUCAGCCAGGCAGCAGUUGCUGGGGUGGAUGCAAAUUGGUACAGGCACUACGGAGAGCAACAGAACAAGAGCCAAUAAAGAUCUCAGUUGUAAAUAGUCUACGACCCAGAACUUCCCCUUCUAGUUCCACACUCUUUACCUUGGAGAAGGCCGAGGGUUGUGUACACGAGCUGACGUGCAAGGAUGCCGCUGAGGCACAGCCUAGAACAAUGAGAACCUGAAAAUAAUUGUACCAUUUCUCAGAUGUGGUUAAUUCGUACAGUGGAAUACCAUACAGCAGUUAGAUAAAUGACCCAGGUCUCCCGUUACCAACAUGCUACAUGUACCGUGUUGGUAAAAUCUCAAAAUUCAACAAUGAGUGAAAAAACAAUUCGCAAAUGACAUUCACAAUUUGAUUCUAUUUAUGUACAUUUUAAAACACGCAAAACAAUACCAUAUAGUGUUACUGAAGGAAUACAUAUGUAGAGAAGACAAGAAAACCUGUACGCAUUUCAAGGUCAAGGUUACUUCUGAG